CAGGAUGAAGCAUAAUUGGCUGUGCGUAGGUUUUGGGUACCUAAGGUUGUCGGUUCGAGCCCGACCAUCCUGA
rfam:Fonticula alba strain ATCC 38817 mitochondrial scaffold supercont2.211, whole genome shotgun sequence.